rnacentral:rRNA from 1 species
GACGAACGCUGGCGGCGCGCCUAACACAUGCAAGUCGAACGGAGCUGAGAGAAGCUUGCUUUUCUUAGCUUAGUGGCGAACGGGUGAGUAACGCGUGAGUAACCUGCCCUGGAGUGGGGGACAACAGUUGGAAACGACUGCUAAUACCGCAUAAGCCCACGAUCCGGCAUCGGAUUGAGGGAAAAGGAUUUAUUCGCUUCAGGAUGGACUCGCGUCCAAUUAGCUAGUUGGUGAGGUAACGGCCCACCAAGGCGACGAUUGGUAGCCGGACUGAGAGGUUGAACGGCCACAUUGGGACUGAGACACGGCCCAGACUCCUACGGGAGGCAGCAGUGGGGGAUAUUGCACAAUGGGGGAAACCCUGAUGCAGCGACGCCGCGUGGAGGAAGAAGGUUUUCGGAUUGCAAACUCCUGUCGUUAGGGACGAUAAUGACGGUACCUAACAAGAAAGCACCGGCUAACUACGUG